AAGAAAAGCAGAAAGAAUAUGCUGAAUCAGUGUGGAGUUACUUGAAGUCAUCCACUCUGGACUCAUCAAAGACCACCUGCGUUCUAGCACAUCACCCAGAUAAUGAAGCCAAUGCUCAGAAAGCAAGGAUGCUGCCCAAGGGAUCACAACUAAGGAGCCCUUACGUCACACCAGGGUCCUGGGACCCAAAUGCCACGAGUCUCUGGCAAAAGUCAAUCUUUACAAGUGGAUGAGACAGACAACCAGGGGUUAAAGCCACAAGUGCUGCACGGGCCUAGCUGGCUGGAAAGGGGCAUGCUUGGCCUCGGUCUCUCUUCAUGACUUCCUUCUGAGGGACAAAGGAGCAAAUGAUGAGACCCAGAACUCAGUAGGUGGAAGAGCAGGCUGCAUGGGCCAUGGACUUGUGAACUCUCUGAACCAGCAGGGAAGGUGGCCUUUGAGGGUGGACAGUCUGCAACACGUCAUCCACAUGUGUCAUCCUACCACAUAGAGCCAUUUAGCAUUGGUGACCAUUACUUAUUCCAGACAACUGUAUGUGUAAACAAAAACACACCAGAUAAUAUAAGCCCUGCUUUGACUUGCUUCAGCCAA